GACUGAAGGAAGACUGCUUCUCCCUCCACCUCUUUUGCCUUCUGGGUUCCUGUGGUCAGUGGGCUUUAUGAACUCUGUAAGCACUGAAGUUCACACUUGGGAAGUAUCAACACAAGGUCCACCUUGCAGACCUGUACGUGUAGUGUUCUCACAACACCACUCAGACGGAAGAAUUGCUGUUGCAGACACUCUUCACCGUUCCCAGGUUACCUUUCAGUUGUAAUGGAAGGACUGUGUGUGCUACAACUGAUGUGGAAUAUUUGUGGAAACAAAGCGCUCUGUGGCAAGCAGGAAUGAUACCCUACUGUAAUCUGUUUAUUCACUACUGUGUUUUAAAGCUCUCCAUCAAAAUGCUGAAAGGAUGCAUGUUGUGACUACCCCUUUCUAAGGCAACUUCUACCUUCUAAGGUGACUUUCCAAAAUUUCAGUGUGAGUUUCAGAAGUCUAUGGGAGGAGCUGAAUGAAGAGUAAUGGAGAGGACAAGAACAUUGAUGAGAAACUGAAAAUGUACGGAACUGAAAUUAAUAUAUACCCAAGGGCCAUCUGAUAUGCAGGCUUGAAAGAAAUACAUUCACACUAUGAUGAACAAGUCCACCCUCAAUUAAUCAAGUGUAAGAAAGAGGCAUACGUGAGGUAUUAAACAUCAAGUACAGGGGCAGACCAGAAAGAUUACAAUGUGAAGUUCAGAAAGUAAUAAAAAUUAUAAGAAAAGGUAGAGAAUGAAAAAAAAAAAAAAGAUUGCUCAGGAUGUUGUGAAAAAUUAUGACUUUUUUCAAGUACACAAGAAAAAAGAGUCCUGUGAAAGAGACAGAAGGGCCUUUAAGACAUGGCAGAGAAAAAUUAUUGAAAGAAAAUUCAGGUUUUGCUUAAAAUAUUCAAUGCACUUCUUGCUCUUGUGCUCUGAAAAGAAGGUAAUGGUGGCAGACACAGGUGUCAGAAACAGGC